ACAUCGAAAGCUUGCUUUUGAUGGGCGUCGACCGGCGCACGGGUGAGUAACGCGUAUCCAACCUGCCCACCACUUGGGGAUAACCUUGCGAAAGUAAGACUAAUACCCAAUGACGUCUCUAGAAGACAUCUGAAAGAGAUUAAAGAUUUAUCGGUGAUGGAUGGGGAUGCGUCUGAUUAGCUUGUUGGUGGGGUAACGGCCCACCAUGGCGACGAUCGGUAGCCGGACUGAGAGGUUGAACGGCCACAUUGGGACUGAGACACGGCCCAGACUCC
rnacentral:rRNA from 1 species